GGCACGUUCGCAUAAUCUGGUAUUGCAGCCGACUUGAAAUCGGCCACGAGUGUAACAGCUUCUCUGGGUUCAAAUCCUAGACGUGCCGCCA
rnacentral:tRNA from 1 species